rnacentral:misc_RNA from 1 species
AAUCAAAUGCGAGUUGGAGCAAAAAGAUGCUUCGUCGUGGAACUGUACUUCUUCAGUACGGGGCUCAAGGUGCCUCGUAUCCCAUCAACUCGGCCCCUCAAGAGCACCCUUCGGGAGGCAGCGCUUCCUCGCGCAUGAUGAUGCAGCGUUCGCAGAAAAUGCUGCUUGACCCUGCCUCUUUUAUUGAGCGCCCACCACGAAAUACGUUUUUCAACAUUGUCCCGCAAGGCCACGAAUACGUCGUGGAGCGACUUGGUCGCUAUCACCGCACACUGGACUCUGGAUGGUGGGUGGUGGUACCCUUCAUCGAUAAGAUUCGUUACAACUACAAUGUGAAGGAGCAGGGUAUCGAAAUUCCAAACCAAUCAGCAAUUACAUCUGACAAUGUGAUGGUGGAGAUUGACGGGGUUCUCUUUCUCAAGAUCGUGGAUUCCUGUAAAGCCAGUUACAAUAUUGAGAACCCCGUGUUCAACUUGAUUAACUUGGCACAAACAACAAUGCGCAGCGAGAUCGGGCGGAUGUCGCUGGAUAGCCUCUUCAGGGAGCGGGCCAGUCUUAACCAGAGCACUGUGGAAGUGCUCCGUCGUGAAGCAAACGAGUGGGGUAUUGAGUGCAAACGCUACGAAAUCCGAGAUAUUGUUGUGAGCGAGCUGGUGCGCCGCUCGAUGGAUCUGCAGGCUGAGGCAGAGCGAAAGAAGCGCAAGCUCAUCCUAGAGAGCGAAGGUGAGUCUACCGCGACGAUCAACCGUGCUAAUGGUAUGAAGAUUGCGCAGCAGUGCGUUGCAGACGCUGAGAAAUACACAGCUGAACGGCAGUCUGAAGGCGCUGCAGCUGCCAUCCGAGUAAAGGCAGCUGCAGUGUCCGACAACAUUUCCAUCGUCUCCGAUGCUAUUGAAAAGGCGAAGCACAGCAGCGAGGCCAUCUCUCUCCGUGUGGCGGAAAGCUAUAUUGAGAAGUUUGGCGAACUGGCAAAAGAAUCCAACACAGUGGUUAUGUCUCAGCCAGUGAGUGAUCCUGCGACGUUUGCAACCCAAGCACUCUCCGUGUUCAACACUGUCGCCACCUCUGCGGCUAAGUGUUCGCCGCCAACCGGCAAGUAGCUAAGCAAGACUAGUUUUCGAGCUGGUAAGUGUGUUUUUGUUUUAGCGCUGCGGUGUGUUGCCCCGCGCUGUAACCCUCACAGUAUUUCGAUCUGGUGUGCCUUGUGCUCCUCUGGCUCAAAGACGAACAAAUGGCCUGAAACUAUUCCGUUUCUGUUGCUAUCACGCAGUGAGGCACCAUUCGUGCAGCACAUUCGUUUGCGGCGUACCUGUAAUUUUUUCGUUUGCUUUCCCCGAAAAAGUGCUGUUAUACUUUGCGAUGAAUGGGGCUG